CCUACGGGGGGCUGCAGUGAGGAAUAUUGGUCAAUGGACGAGAGUCUGAACCAGCCAAGUAGCGUGAAGGAUGACUGCCCUAUGGGUUGUAAACUUCUUUUAUAUGGGAAUAAAAUGUUCCACGUGUGGGAUUUUGUAUGUACCAUAUGAAUAAGGAUCGGCUAACUCCGUGCCAGCAGCCGCGGUAAUACGGAGGAUCCGAGCGUUAUCCGGAUUUAUUGGGUUUAAAGGGAGCGUAGGUAGAAUGUUAAGUCAGUUGUGAAAGUUUGCGGCUCAACCGUAAAAUUGCAGUUGAAACUGGCAGUCUUGAGUACAGUAGAGGUGGGCGGAAUUCGUGGUGUAGCGGUGAAAUGCUUAGAUAUCACGAAGAACUCCGAUUGCGAAGGCAGUUCACUGGACUGCAACUGACACUGAGGCUCGAAAGUGUGGGUAUCAAACAGGAUUAGAUACCCCAGUAGUC
rnacentral:rRNA from 1 species